CCCAGGGUCACACAGCAUGAAGUGUCAGAGAUGGGAUUUGGACUCGGGUCUCUCUACCUCCUAUGUUUCUGCUCUCUCCAGGGCUCCAUGUCAUCAUCAAGGAUGAGUUACUUCAUGGCUGUGACUUUCCAGGGCUCCCCUCAGCAGUAGAAUGGAAGAGGACAACUGGAGAGAUGGUGACGCUGCUUACUUCAAGAAAAAAGCCAAGAGGGGUAGCAGGCAGGCACAGCCCGUGGUUGAAGAGGAGGACUUUCCACUCAUUUCAAAGCAGAAACUAGACUUGGACACGACCUUGGAGAAGCAUAGCCCCUUCUCC
rnacentral:lncRNA from 1 species